rnacentral:lncRNA from 1 species
UGCAAGCCAAGAUUUCGCAGCUCCAGCAAAGAAAUCUCGAGACCUCCCAAUAAUCUCUUGGGAGAUAGAAAUUCUUGAGACACGAAUUUCAUUGAAGGUCGAUGUUUUGGAUUUGAAUGUAAGCAAGAAAAUAUAAGACUUGCAAUGGUACAUAUAUUCUGUAUGACAAUUUCAUUUGUUGGAGGUGGCAAACGAGGAUCUAACACUUCUUUCAGUGUAAUAGCCUGGGCAAAUGAUGAUAGGAUAUCUCCCGGAUGCCUUCCCAUCAAAGUUUCAAGCGCCACAACUCCGAAGCUGUACACAUCACAUUUCUCUGUCACCGACAUAGUAUAAGCCAACUUUGUCCAUAUACAAAUCGAAAUUAAUAUAUAUAUUUAAAAGAGAGUUUGCUUUAGUUUUGUAGUGCAUGAGUGGUAAAUAUGAAUGUUAAGAAGAAAUAUUUUUACCUGGGGCAAUGUAUCCAUAGGUACCAGCAAGUACAGUAUGGUUGGACGAAUCAGGAUCGAGAAGUCUAGCCACGCCAAAAUCAGCAACAAAAGACUUGGAUUCUGAAUUCAACAGAACAUUGCUGCUUGAUAUGUCUCGAUGAACAAUUGGCGGGUUGCAAUCAUGAUGCAAGUAAGAUAAUGCGUGAGCAAUGUCUUUGAUGAUGUGUGCUCUUUUCAUCCACUUCAAUCCCACAGCUCCGACAUCAUUUCUCAAGGCACAAAACAAGCUUCCCUUUUCCAUGUACUCGUAAACAAGAAACAUGCAGCGCUAGUGCAAACAAAAUCCAUAAAGCUUUACAAUGCUCCUGUGACGUAUUUGUGUGAGCACUUCCACCUCAUUUUUAAAACUCUUGUCAAAAGCCGGCUCCUCUGCCUCUCGACGAUGAAGUUUCUUCAAGGCAACUAAUUUCCCACUUGGAAGUUGUGCUCGGUAGACGCUCCCAUAACCACCGGUUCCGAUACAAUAUCUGAGGUCAAAGUUCUCGGUCGCUGUAAUGAUGUCUUCGUAUGCAAUCGUCCCAUCAUAAUUCCAUACGGAAAACAAGUCUCCAUUCUUUGAUGAUGCUGGCUCAGGUUGGGUAGCCUUGCUUCGAGAUAGAUAACAAUAUCUGAGACACAAGAGACAAAGUGAAAUGGUGGUGAUAGGAACAAAUAUCUUGAUGGAAUGAAUCCUUCUGUUGUCUUUUGAAGGUAACAAGUAGGUUUGUGAAGGUGGGGAUGAAGGUGGGGAGUAAAUAGAUGGACAACGUGAGAAAUUAGGGUGUAAAUAUUUGUUGCCCUCAAAUGUAGUAUCUUUAAAAGUUGCAGAAUCGUUGGUAAUUUGUCCAUGAAGUAAAUCACAUGGUGUGAAAGAAAAAUUAAAGGGCAGUGGCAAAGGUAAGGGAACAGGGCCUGAGAGGUUAUUGUAACGAAAAUCCACAUAUUUUAAAGAGCCCAAGUCAUAUAGUUCAAAGGGUAUCUCUCCACUUAAAUUAUUGGACCUCAAAACUAGGUAGGCCAAAUUAUUACAAUACUUCAAAGAUGAUGGGAUGGAAUUUUUGAAAUGAUUGGAAGAAAAAUCAAGCUCAACCAAUCGGCUGAGAUUUCCAAGUGAAGACGGUAACUCACCUGCUAGAUUAUUUGAGGACAGGUUGAGGUAUCUGAGUUGUGGAAGGAUAAAAAUUUGAGGCGGGAUGCUUCCAGUGAGCUCAUGGUUGGCCAGGUGGAGACGGGCAAGGUUUGAGAAGCAAGAAAAGUUCAUCUUUGCAAACUUAUUUCCCACCUUGAGGAACCAUGGUGGGGAAAUCUCAGUGAUGCUUCCAGCCCGAUCACAGACUAUGCCAGUCCAGUUGCAACGAUGUGAGGUGAGGUUGCUGUAGUCACUCCACCAUCCACUCUCAAGCAAAGCCUUGCCUUCUGAUGCUAGCAAGGCCGAGUCAUCAAGUGCAGCCACAAGACCAGUACUAGAUACAAAAAUACAGGACACGAAAAUUGAGGCAUGUUUGUGUAUCUUGAAAAAUUUCAGGACUGUUGGUUCUUUGGCCAUUAAGAGAAUCACAGGUGAAAGACAUAUCAAAGAGUUGUAGCCAAUGGAAGGGAACAAAGCCUGAGAGGUUAUUGUAACGAAAAUUCACAUAAGUUAAAGAAAGCAAAUUAUGUAGUUGGGAGGGUAUUUGUCCACUUAAAUUAUUGUAGCUCAAAUCUAGAUAGGUCAAACAUUUACAAUUCAUCAAAGAUGAAGCUAUGCAUCCAUUGAUUUGGUUGUUAGAUAGGUCUAGAAAUGUCAAGUUUCUUAAAUUUCCUAAUGAAAUAGGAAUUGGACCAGUAAGUGUAUUAUAACUCACGUCCAAACUCUCUAGAUUUCUCAUGUUCCCUAUUUUUCUAGGGAGGGCACUUUGGAGACUAUUAUGAUCCAUAAAUAAAUGCGUUAGAUUGUCCAAAUGACAAAGUGCUGAAGGGAUUGGGCCGCUGAAGCUGUUAUAAGACAAGUUCAAAGUAACAAGAUUUUUAAGAUUGCCUAGUUCUGGACGGAUGGAAUUGAUGAAAUCCGAGACAGAUAACAACAUCCGAGACACAAGAGACAAAGUGAAAUGGUGGUGAUAGGAAGAAAUAUCUUGAUGGAAUGAAUUAUUAUGUUGUCUUUUGAAGGUAACAAGUAGGUUUUUGAAGGUGGGGAGUAAAUAGAUGAACAACGUGACAAAUCAGGGUGUAAAUCUUUGUUGCCUUCAAAUGCAGUAUCUUGAAAAAUUUCAGGACUGUUGGUUCUUUGGCUAUGGAGAGAAUCACAGGUGAAAGACACAUCAAAGGGUUGUGGCAAUUGCAAGGGAACAAAGCCUGAGAGGUUAUUAUAACGAAAAUUCACAUAAGAUAAAGAGGGCAAAUUAUAUAGUUGGGAGGGUAUUUGUCCACUUAAAUUACUGUAGCUCAAAUCUAGAUAGGUCAAAUAUUUACAAUUCUUCAAAGAUGAAGCUAUGGAUCCAUUGAUUUGGUUAUGAGAAAGGUCUAGUUUCUUUAAAUUGGUUAAACUGCCGAGUAUAAUUGGAAAUGAACCUUUGAUAAUGUUUGAACUCAGAUAUAAUUCUUUCAAAUUUAUCAAGUUUCGUAUUUCCAACGGAAUGGAUCCCAUGAUUUGGUUGUUAGAUAGGUCAAUGCCAAGUUUUUUAAAUCUCCUAAUGAAAUAGGAAUCGAACCACUAAUUUUGUUGCCUUUGAGAAACAAACGAUAUAGUUUUGUCAAAUUUCCUAUUUCUGAAGAGAUGGAUCCAUUGAUUUGAUUGUCAAAAAGAUGCAAAAGAAUUAAAUUGGAUAAAAGACCAAAUGUAGAAGGAAUUGAACCAGCUAGGAUAUUAGAGGAAAGAUCUAAAUGUUCUAGAUUCGUCAAAUUUCCUAUUUGCAAAGGGAUGGAUCCAUUGAUUCCGUUAUAAGAAAGAUCUAGAUUAGUCAAAUCGGAUAAAAAACCUAUCGUUGAAGGAAUUGAACCAACUAGGAUAUUAGAUCUAAGCUGUAAAUCUUUUAAAUUCGUCAAAUUUCCUAUUUCUAAAGGGAUGGAUCCAUUGAUUGCGUUGCGAGAAAGGAUCAAAGACCUCAACUUGGCUAACCUACCCAAUGUUCGAGGGAUUGGACCAGUAAGUGUAUUAUAACUCACGUCCAAACUCUCUAGAUUUCUCAUGUUCCCUAUUUCUCUAGGGAGGGCACUUUCGAGACUAUUAUGAUCCAUAAAUAAAUGCGUUAGAUUGUCCAAAUGACAAAGUGCCGAAGGGAUUGGGCCGCUGAAGCUGUUAAACGACAAGUUCAAAGUAACAAGAUUUUUAAGAUUGCCUAGUUCUGGAGGGAUGGAAUUGAUGAAAUCAUUGGAAGAAAAAUCAAGCUCAACUAAUCGGCUGAGAUUUCCAAGUGAAGACGGUAACUCACCUGCUAGAUUAUUUGAGGACAGGUUGAGGUAUGUGAGUUGUGGAAUGAUAGAAAUUUGAGGCGGGAUGCUUCCAUUGAGCUCAUGGUUGGCCAGGUGGAGACGGACAAGGUUUGAGAAGCAAGAAAAGUUCAUCUUUCCAAACUUAUUUCCCACCUUGAGGAGCUCUGGAGGUGGGGAAAUCUCAGUGAUGCUUCCAGCUCGAUCACAGACUAUGCCAGUCCACUUGCAACGAUGUGAGGUGAGGUUGCUGUAGUCACUCCACCAUCCACUCUCAAGCAAAGCCUUGCCUUCUGAUGCUAGCAAGGCUGAGUCAUCAAGUGCAGCCACAAGACCAGUACUAGAUACAAAAAUACAGGACAAGAAAAAUGAGAUGCUUAAAAUCGCGAGAAGUUUUGGCUCAUAAUCAAUGGAUGCCAUGUUUGCGUGUAAUGCUUCCCUUCAAUGAGAAUGCUAAAUUUAUGAUUGAAGUGCAUGGUUUUUUCAUGAACUCAUUCCAAGUCAAGUUCCUCUGGUCUUUCACGUGUACUAUUCUUACUGUCUUUUUGAGACCAAAGAUGAUGCGUGGGCAUAUGCGUUCAUUGCAAGACUUUUCAUUCUAUCAAUUCCAAUGCCUAAGACAAUAGCUUCAGAUUGUCUAGCUAGUUUUUUUAUUUUUCCACAAAGGAGAAAAAGGUUCAGCAAUCACCAAUAGUAUCAUUUGGAAAUUAAGGGCAGUCAAUUACUAUGUUGCAGCUAUGAUUAGUUUUUUUAUGGUUAAAAACUAUAUAGUUGUUAUUAUCGUGUUUUUUAGUUGAAAAAAAUUAAAACAUGUAAAGGUUAAGUUGAAGUAACCUAGUUAACUUAAUGGGUUAAAAAGUAACUUGAAAAAUUAUUAAAAAUAUAGUUUCACUAAAAAUAUUCAAGACAACAUGUUUUUGAAAAAAUAUCGAGACGAAAAAUAUAUUGAAUCAACUCGGGUUAACCUGUCAAAUUCACAACUCGAAUAAUAAGACCGGAAUAACCACAUACAAAGUAAAUCAAAAUUAAAUAUAAAACUCAAUUCUCAAUUAAACCAAUGUUAAAAGAUGAAAUAAAAAAAUUAAUUAAAAAAAGAUAUCAAAAAACAAACAACUCAGGUUAACCUGUCAAAGCUACAACCUGGAUCAUAUGACUGAAAUAACUCAUUAUAAAACAAAUUACAAUAAGUUAUAAAGUUUAAUUCUCAAUCAAUCUAAUGUUGAAGGAUGAAAUUGAAAAAAAAUCAAUUCAAAAAAACUAAAUCAACUCAAGUUAACCAGCCAAACUCGUGACAUAUAUAAUAAGACCGAAUAACCUCGUAGAAAGCAAAAACAAAUAUGAAGCUUAAUCAUAAAUCAACCAAAUGUUAAAAGAUAAAAUUGAGAAAAAAUAAUUAAACUAAAAAAAUAACAAACGAACCUGAGUUGACCUAUACAACUCGAGAUAAGAAAUCUCAAUGUUUAGUGAUGAAAUUAAAAAAAAAAAAAUGAGUCAACCCAGGUUGCUAGCCAAAUUGUGACCCAGGUAAUGAGGUUAGGAUAACUUUACAGAAAGCAAGACCAAAAAAAUUUGAAGCCUGAUUCCAAAUUAACUAAAUGUUGAAGGAUAAAAUUGAAAAAAAAAUUAAAAAAAAAAAAUUAAUCUCAGUUACACUGUCAAACUCAUGAUCCAGAUCAAGAAAUCAGGAUAACUUUAUAGAAAGUAAAUAAAAAAAAAUUAUAAAGCUCAAUUUUCAAUAAACCUAUUGUUGAAGGUUGAAAUUGAAGGGAAAAAAAUCAACAUAAAAACAAGAUACAAUAAAAUGACCUCAAUCUACACGAGUUAACUUGCAAAACAUGUGAUUCAAGUCACAAGAUCAGGAUAAUCUCAUAGAAAACAAACCAAAUAAAUCAUGAAAUCUAAUUCAUAAUCAACUAAAUGUUGAAAGAUAAAAUUGAAAAAAUAUUAAUUAAAAAAGAUUUAAAAAAAACUCGAGUCAACUAGGUUAACCCGCCAAACUCACGACUCGGGUCAUGAAAUCGAGAUAACCUCAUAAAAAACAAACCAAAAUAAAUCAUGAAGUAUAAUUGUCAAUCAACCUAAUGUUGAAAGAUGAGAAUGAAAAAAAAUGUCAAUUAAAAAAAACUCAACUCAAUCGAAUUAACCCGCCAAACCCCUUACAUAGAUUAUGAGACUAGGCUGACCACGUAUAAAGCAUACCACAAUAAAUUAUGAAGUUCAAUCUUCAAUAAAUUAAAUGUUGAAGUAUGAAAUUAGGAAGAAACAUAGAUUUAGAAAGGGAAAAAAAAGAGGAAAAAAAACACUAUUAAGAUAAAUAGUGUUUUAUGAGGUGAUGAACAAUAAAAUCAUCACCUCUUUUAGUUUAUACUACUAAUUAUUUGACACGCGCUUCUCUGCGGGUCAAAUAAUGUUUUGGGAAGAAAAAACAUAUGCAAGCUUUUCAAAUGUGUUUUUGUACAAAAAGAAAUCUAGUUGUAAAUCUAAAGGCAUAUAUAUGCAUUUAAUUAAAUAAAUCAAAAAUAAUCUCUAUUGAUAAAUGCAAAUAUAUAUAUAUAUAUAUAUAUAUAUAUAUAUAUAUAUAUUGACGUGUCGAUUCCAUUUGCCUAGCUGCAAGUUGAUUAUUGUUUUUUUCUAACGUAAAUGAAUUAAUAUGUAGAUGUUAUUAGUGUGUUUUUUUAUGGCGAGUAAAAAAUUAAUUGUGAACUUACAUAUAAUAAAAUAUAAUGAAGAUCACAUGAGUUAAUAAAGAAAUGUAAGAUCUCAAGCAUAUUUUUAAUGUAGUAUAAAAAUGAAACAAUGUUGCAACUGUUACAUUGUUUUCUUAUUCCUUGUAUAAUAAUUUUUCAAGAAAACAAAUUAUGAAAGAAUAAAGAUAAGAAAAAAAAAUAAAUUAAAAUUAAAAUUAAUAAUAUUACAAUGUUUUUGUAUUCUGGUAAUUUUAGAGCUAGUUUGUUGUUUAUUUUUGUGUUUUAAAAGUAUUUUAAUAAAAUUUAUUUUUUUAUUUUUUUACUUCAAAUUAAUUUUUUAUAAUUUUAGAUUUUUAUAAUUUGCUGAUGUCAAAAAUAAAUUUAAAAAAAAUAUAUUAUUUUAAUAUAUUUUCAAAUAAAAAUUAUUUUAAAAUAAUUAAUAUCACAACUAAUGCAAUACACUAUUUGAAAUCCCACGCUGGUAUAAGAAGGCUUAAGCCAUUAGCUGCUUGGGCUUGUUUCGUAUACAUGUUAGAAUAGUUUGUUUUGGUUUCGGUUCAAUUGAGGGCCCGCGAACAAGAAACUUAUGCGGGGCUGUAAUCAUUAAAGAAAAUUAUUGAAUACACAGCCAUGAGAUAAUUAAUAAAAUCCUAAAUAAAUAUAUUAUCCUUGCAUUCUAAUUUAAUAAAUUUUUUUAACGAAAAUAAGCUCUCUCUUUUUUUCUGUCGUUAGAUAUUAUUUGAAUUUUACCGGGAUAUUCUAAAUGCCUUGUUUUAUAAUUAAUGCUACUGUAAAAAGUUAAAGUCAAGAAGGCUUUCAUAUUAGGCCUCGAUAACAUUAUUUUCUUAAUUUUCUUGUUUUUUCUACAUGUAUUUGGAUUUUUUUUUCUUUAUUUUUUAUGGUUAUUUUAUAAUUUUUAUUUUCAGUAAAAAUAAGUUGAAUACUUAUUUAAACAAGUUGUAAUUUAUUUUUAUAACUAGUAGCUAGUAUAUAAACAAUUAAGUUGUAUUAGGCCUAGAAAACAUUUAUUUUUCUUGUAAUUUAUUUGAUUAUUAUUGAGAAUUAUUUUGUCUUCGUGUGAUAAAUUAGCUCUGGAGUAUCUCAAACCUUUAAAAAAAAAAAAAUUGUUUUCUUUUCAAUCUUGUUCAGCUCCGUCAAGCUUUUUCUUAACUAGCCAUUUACCAUUGCUUCGCUUUUGAUUAGUAUAUCAUUAUUUUAAAAAUAAAAAUUAUUAAGCACGUUUUUAUAUAUUAAAACAUAAAUUUAACUCAAUUCUAGUUAUCAUGUCCAUGAACACCUUGUAAUGUUUGAUUACUAUCGCCCCAUUCUCCAUUUCAGCAAUAACUUAGACUUACUAGUAGUAAUCUCAUUGUUCUUAAUUUCAGUGAUGGUUUUUUAUGUUUCGGUGAUUCUUCCCUUUUAAUCCUACUGUGAUCUUUAAUCAGGUUACUUGUGAGCAUGUUAAUUUACCGAGGACGGGUGGUGCAGUGGUGAAGCAUAUGAUAAUAAGAGCCUGAUGUUGUGUGCUCCGGCAAGCAAGUUUUGGGCUUAAUAGCAUCAGGACAGUUGCGCACUCCAAGCUUUUUCUCAUUUAAAGAUAUCAUGAAGGGGAAUAAGGAUGACCAAUGUGGUAUCGUGGUAAAGAAUUUCAACUUAAAAACCUGGUUUCAUUCUUUUAUAAACCAGAGGCUGAUACGAAGAAAUCAUUUUUCCUGUUAGUAAAUGUCUCCGAGACAACAAAAACUCUCUUUUAACUUCUUUCGGUUCCAAACAUUGGACACAAAUCUUGAAGUGGUAUUCCUUUGGAAGAUGAUGGAAAAUCCCAUCCGUGCCAAAUGAUAAAUACCAAAGCACAUCAGUCGGAAAAAAUCAAUCCAAACACUGCUUUUAGGCAUCCAAUAUACAAGAGCUUGCAGGAACAAAUGGAGUUAACAAAUAUCUUCAACAUAUUUCAAGUAAGGAUUUGCCUAGUUAUAAGAUGAGUGAUGAUUUCAAUUUAACCCAGAGAGUGAUGCUCUAAUUGAUUCUACAGUACACGAGAAAAGAGUGCUUCGUUAAAAAUACAUACAAUGUCACCCUAAAAUAUUAUAAAGACAUUUAAUGUACUAAAAGAAAAAGUUCUUCCAAAAUUAAGAAAUAUUAUAAACUUUAAUGUGAGCUCAAAGUUCACAUUUUCAACUAGGAACUGUGAUAUCACCUCCAUUUGCGUGCAUGCCAAGAGUUCGCAGCUCCAGCAAAGAAAUCUCAAGACCUGCCAAUGAUUUCUUGGAAGAUAGAAAUUCUUGAGACACGAAUUUCAUCGAAGGUCGAGAUUUUGGAUUCGAAUGUAAGCAAGAGAAUGCUAGAGUUGCAAUAAUACAUAUAUUCUAUAUGACAAUUUCAUCUGUUGGAGGUGACAAACGAGGAUCUAACACUUCUUUCAGUGUAAUAGCCCGAGCAGAUGAUGAUAAGAAAUCUCCUGGAUGCCUUCCCAUCAACGUUUCUAGCGCCACCACUCCAAAGCUAUAGACAUCAAUUUUCUUUGUCACCAACAUAGUAUAAGCCAACUCUGUCCAUAAACAAAAUGAAAUUAAAAAAUAUAUAAAAGAGAGUUUGCUUUAAUGUUGGUGUGCAUGGCAUUAGUGAUACACGUAUAUAAAGAAGAAAUAUUUGACCUGGGGCAAUGUAUCCAUAGGUACCAGCAAGUACUGUAUGGUUGGACGAAUCAGGAUCGAGAAGUAUAGCCACACCAAAAUCAACAACAAAAGACUUGGAUUUUGAAUUCAACAGAACAUUGCUGCUUGACAUGUCUCGAUGAACAAUUGGCGGGUUGCAAUCAUGAUGCAAGUAAGAUAAUGCGUGAGCAAUGUCUUUAAUGAUGUGUGCUCUUUUCAUCCACUUCAAUUCCACAGCUCCAACAUCAUUUCUCAAGGCACAAAACAAGCUUCCCUUUUCCAUGUACUCGAAAACAAGAAACAUGCAGCGAUGGUGCAAACAGAAUCCAUAAAGCUUUACAAUGCUCCUGUGACGUAUAUGUGUGAGCACUUCCACCUCAUUUUUGAAACUCUUGUCAAAAGCCGACUCCUCUGCCUCUCGACGAUGAAGUUUCUUCAAGGCAACUAAUUUCCCACUUGGAAGUUGUGCUCGGUAGACUCUCCCAUAACCACCGGUUCCGAUACAAUAUCUGAGGUCAAAGUUCUCGGUCGCUGCAAUGAUAUCUUCGUAUGCAAUCGUCCCAUCAUAAUUUCAUACGGAAAACAAGUCUCUGUUCUUUGAUGAUGCUGGCUCAGGUUGGGUAGCCUUGCAUCCAGAUAGAUAACAACAUCCGAGACACAAGAGACAAAGUGAAAUGGUGGUGAUAAGAAGAAAUAUGUUGAUGGAAUGAAUCCUUCUGUUGGUUUUUGAAGGUAACGAACAGUUUGAGAAAUCAGGGUGUAAAUAUUUGUUGCCCUCAAAUGUAGUAGCUUUAAAAGUUGCAGAAUCGUUGGUAAUUUUCCUACGAAGAAGUAAAUCACAUGUGAAAUAAAAAUUAAAGGGUGGUGGCAAAUUCAAGGGAAUAGGGCCUGAGAGAUUAUUGUAACUAAAAUUCACAUAUUGUAAAGAGGUCAAAUCAUAUAGAUUGGAGGGUAUCUCUUCACUUAAAUUAUUGCAGCUCAUAUCUAGGAAGGUCAAAUUCCCUAUUUCACUAGGGAGGGCACCUUCGAAACUAUUGGGAUCCAUUUGUAAAUGCGUUAGAUUUUCCAAAUGACAAAGUGCCGAAGGGAUUGGGCCGCUGAAGUUGUUAUGAGACAAGUUCAAAGUAACAAGAUUUUUAAGAUUGCCUAGUUCUGGAGGGAUGGAAUUGAUGAAAUUAUUGGAAGAAAAAUCAAGCUCAACUAAUCGGCUGAGAUUUCCAAGUGAAGACGGUAACUCACCUGUUAGAUUAUUUGAGGACAGGUUGAGGUAUCUGAGUCGUGGGAGGAUAGAAAUUUGAGGCGGGAUGCUCCCAAUGAGCUCAUGGUUGGCCAGGUGGAGACGGGCAAGGUUUGAGAAGCAAGAAAAGUUCAUCUUUCCAAACUUAUUUCCCACCUUGUGGAACUCUGGAGGUGGGGAAAUCUCAGUGAUUCUUCCAGCCCGAUCACAGUCUAUGAACAGUGCAAUUAUAUGAACAAUAUUUUUCGUAUAUAGUUGACAUGAACAGUGCUGGGAAUUGCACUGUUCACUCAAGAAAUAGCGAACAGUUCAAUUCUCUUGCACUGUUCACUGCCUGCGUUUUUUUUUUUUUUUUUUGUGUGUUAGUUUUUUAAUAUUUUUUUAAAAAAAUUAGUUUAGAGUUAAUUUUAUACCUGAUAAUAUUUUAUCUAAUUUUAUUACAUGCUAAAAAUAUUAUGAAAACUGUAGUUUUUGUUGGAUGAAUCUCGUACGUAAUGGAAUUAUAAAUGGUUUCAUGGAAUAAUAAAAAUUAUAUUUAUAUAAAGUAUGAUUUAUUUCAUGAUAUAAUAGCAAUAGUUAAAUCCACAAUAUUUAAAUUAAAAAUCAUAAGUACUAAUAUAUAUUUUUAAAAUUAUUUUAUAACCUCAAUUUUAAAAGUAUUCUUAACCAAACACAUUAAAUUACUUUUUUUUCAACUUCAAUUUCAACCACAGUUUUAACCAAACACCUAUUUUCUCAAACCAAACUCAACUAAAAGCACUUUUUAUAAAACAACUUUUUUUAAAUCACAACCACAACAGCUACCACAAUACCAAACACACUCUUACUAUUUUAUAGAUAAAAUCGAUUCACCAAAUACUACUCAAGAAAAGAAAAAAAAAAAAGAUUCAUCAAAUCGGGGCCAAAUCCGACAUGCAAAACCCAAUACGAGUCCACAACUUGCCAAUAUGAAAUAGGCCCAGCUAACGAGCUCAUAAUCUCAUUCAGACAUAGCCCAGCAGCCGAGCUCAUCUGGAUAAUAGAAAUAUCCGAGGAAGCGCGCGGUCAAAACCCUUAAGGAAGGUCACGCGCCCCCAAAAACCGGUGUUUACUGACUGGCUUACAUUGUUAAACAACUCGUAGCACCAAAAAUUAAAAAAUAAAGAAAGGGAAGGCCAACAGUCAUAGUGAAGCAGGCAGCUUCAAAUAAAAUGCAAUUUGAGCAAUGUGAGUUGAAAUGCCAAGAAUCAUUGUUUUCUCAAACUACUCAGUUUUUAUUGGUCUCAAGAAUUUGCCACUCAAAAGAACAAGCAUUCCAUCUUUGAUCUGGAUGCCCCCCAAACAUAAGUUUUUUUACCUCAGCAAAAUAAAAAUGAAGCAAGGCCAUGAUGAAUAACUUUACAACAAUGCAGCAUUUCAACACAAUCUAUACAGCACAUACAAAAAUUGGCAACCGUGAAAAAAAAUGGAGAGAGGAGAGGGAGUGGAAAACCAGAUUGCUGCUAGAAAGAACUCCAAUUGCCAGAACUCUUUUUGGGAGUUUGAUCUUCAGAUGAAACCUUAAAGGGGGCACUGGAGCCAAAUGGAUCUCCAUCAUCAAAUGAAGAGAAUGCACGGCUGUGGCCAAAAUCUUUGGAGCUGUUUAUGGAGUCGAACCUUGUAAGCUUUUCUCGUGGUGAAAAGCCUCCUUCAUUCAUGCUGAAGGAAUCAAAUCUCGAGUAAUUAUCAAAAUGGUCCUCUGCUUCGCUGAACCUUGGAGAGUUGCCAAAUCUUGACAUUGGGGAACCUGCAACAGAUUCUUCAAAAAAUAUACUCUUUUUCUGGAAAGUAUUCGUUGUUGAUGUGGAUUCCGUUCUGAUUGGCUUUAGACCAAAAUCAUCAGAUCCAAAGAAAUCUCUCUCGUUCUCAGAAGAGCCCUGCUAGAUGACACAACCAAAUAAUUGAGGGCAAUGUGAAGAGAUAUCUCAGACUCUUAAUUGGUGUCCGAAAACAGCCUGGAUUCGUGGGAGUCUUGCCUGUUUAUGGUUGAAACUGAACGACAAACUAUAAUUGAAGGAGAAAAUCUAAGCAACCACCAUCUCUGCUUGAUUAAGCAAUAAGCGGGAAGAUUGAAAAAUCGUUGGUUUCUUUUUUCUUUUUUCAGCCUAAUCUGAACAACUUUCUCGCGUUUCUAAAUUUGUUUGGAUUUUAAGUGAGGAUGUAAAUUUUAAUAAUCAAAGGCUCAUGAAAUUCUGGCUCCGUUUACUGUAAAUAUUUAGAAUGAAUUACUCAUAAUCUUUUUUAAACUGACUUUUGAUUUUAAAUGUUUUUCUUUAAAAUCAUAAAACUAGACUUAACUAUUUAUUAUUAUCGUGUUAGAAGUAACUUUUAAUCUAAAAAGAGAUGAUUUAUUUAUUCUAAACCAAAGACUUUCAUGGGAUUCUAAGUUUGAUCUCAAGAUUUGUAAAUCAGAACCAUAGAACCAUCCAUCUUAAACAAAUUAGUUAUUUCAAUUUUUAAUUUUUUUUGUGGUGACGGGUGAAUUGGAUAAUGUGUGAUGGAUAUCCAAUUUGGAUUGAGGACUUGAUUAAGAAUUAGGCAAUAGUUGGAGGACUUGACAAGUAAUUGCAGAAGUAGACCUGGACAACCCUACAAUCUUGUCUUUUAGGGGAAGACUUGCCUUUCGGUUUUGGAUGAUGAGGAUUGAGGCCCUUGAGUUGCCACGUUUGUGGGUUCUGGUAAUUCUUGCAGGAAUUUGAAAUCUCGUGCUGAUUAGUCUUGCUCGUAUAAAAAGGCUUAAGCCAACAGCUGAUUGGGCUUUGUUUCGUGUUCAUGUUGGAAUAGUUUGUUUUUGCUUAGGUUCAAUUGAAGGCCCGAAAAGCCUCGAACAAGAAACUGAAUAAAGAAAAUUAUUGAAUAUACACAGCCAUGGGAUAAUUAAUAAAAUCCUAAAUAAAUAUAUUAUCCUUGCAUUCUAAUAUAAUUGCAGAAUUGGAUCGGCGACUUGUCAAUUGUCACCAUGAUAAUGGGUAUAUAUAUAGAGCUUUCAUGCAAGAGAAUAUGAACUGUCAGAUAAUCAUUUGUUAUAAUUAGACUAUGUAAAACAUGUAGCAUAUACGAUCUAUGAACGACCGUCCAACGAAAAAUAUGAUGCUCCAAAUAAUUUUUUUUUUCCUGGCUUGUCUAAGAGCAUCAGCGACAGAUGCACAUACCCCAACCUUUUUCUUAUUUAAAGAUAUCAUGAAGGGGGAAUUAAUGGGAUGAUCAAUGUGAUAACAAGGUAAAGAAUUUCAACUUUAAAAAUUGGUUUCAAUAUUUUAUAAAUCAGAUGCUGAUACGAAGAAAUCAUGUGCUCAUAAUCGGAUACUAUGAUAUAUUUUCUCUGUUAGUAAAUGUCUCUGAGAUUGAAAAUAAUUUAUAGCUAGGGAUCUUGUACAGCUACAGUGUUGUGCAUUUUACUAGAUAGACAUGCUCUUGUAUAUGGUCAAAGCUUGGUCCCUAACAUGAGACGUAAAUCUUCCUUUGGAGUGGAAGAUGAUUGAAAAUUCUAUCUGUGCCAAAUGAUAAAUAAUAAGGUGCAUCAUUCAGGGGGGGGAAAAACAAAACAUGUUGCUCAGAUAGUGACAGGAGUCAUAACAGACCGUAGAGAGUAGAUCUAAUCAUUGCUUUCAGGCAUCUAUUAUACAAAAGCUUGCAGGGACAAAUUAAUGGAGUUAACAAAUAUCUUCUGCAUAUUUCAAGUGUGGAUUUGCCUAAUUAUAAGAUGAGUGAUGAUUUCAAUUUAACAUAGACGUACAGAGAGGUAGACUUAAUAUGAUGCUCAUAUAUAUUGAUACUAGCUAUCAUGCACAAGAAAAGUGUGCAUUAUUAAAAUUACAUAACAAUGUCACACUAAAAUAUUACAAAGACAUGUAGUGUGCUAAAACAAAACAAAAGGAAAAAAAUUCAUCCAAAUUUAAGAAAUUCUAUAAACGCAUGCUCUUGGAGGUGCUCUCGUUGAAGUUCCAUAUGAGCUCGAAGUUGACUUUUUCAGCGAGGAACUGUGAUCUCACCUACAUUUGUGUGCAAGCCAAGAUUUCGCAACUCCAACAAAGAAAUCUCGAGACCUCCCAAUAAUCUCUUGGGAGAUAUAAAUUCUUGAGACACGAAUUUCAUUGAAGGUCGAUAUUUUGGAUUUGAAUGUAAGCAAGAAAAUAUGAGACUUGCAAUGGUACAUAUAUUCUGUAUGACAAUCUCAUUUUUUGGAGGUGGCAAACGAGGAUCUAACACUUCUUUCAAUGUAAUAGCCUGAGCAGAUGAUGAUAGGAUAUCUCCCGGAUGCCUUCCCAUCAAAGUUUCAAGCGCCACAACUCC